UACGAAGGGGGCUAGCGUUGCUCGGAAUUACUGGGCGUAAAGCGCACGUAGGCGGCUUUCUAAGUCGGGGGUGAAAUCCUGGAGCUCAACUCCAGAACUGCCUUCGAUACUGGAGAGCUCGAGUCCGGGAGAGGUGAGUGGAACUGCGAGUGUAGAGGUGAAAUUCGUAGAUAUUCGCAAGAACACCAGUGGCGAAGGCGGCUCACUGGCCCGAUACUGACGCUGAGGCACGAAAGCGUGGGGAGCAAACAGGG
rnacentral:rRNA from 1 species